rnacentral:sRNA from 1 species
ACACUGUUUUAUAUCAUUUCUCAUCAUUUGUCAUCACUUUGCAUGUUUAGGAUAGUUUUGCAUGCAUGUUGCAUAUUUGUGUUGUUUUCAGGUGAUUUGGAGCUGUUGGCAAGCUAAUUGGAAGAAGCGGACCUGAUCACAACAAAACACUCGACCCCCUUGCGAGUAGAUGGUUCCACGACUUUAACAAACCACUCAACCCCCUGGUCGAGUAGAAGACCUCAUCACUUCACGUCACCACUCGACCCCCUGGUCGAGUACCACCAUGAGAGUCACUCGAUCACAUCCACUCAAUCCCAUGGUCGAGUAUCAUCAUCUCCACCACUUGACCAUCACUCGAUCACCCAACUUGACCACCUGGUCGAGUACCUCCAUCACCUUCACUCGUUCGCUCUAACACCAAGCCGAGUACCACCAUCUCUAUCACUCGACUUCAUACUCGAGUGCCAGCUUCAGAGUCUUCUCCAUUCCGCACUCAACCAGACACUCGAGCACAAGGAAGAGAAGAAGACUCCAGCUUAUCACUCGAUCAUUCACUCGACCACCUUGGUCAAGUACCGUUCUUAAUCUGUCCCAAUACUGCAUCAUUUUGAGUAUUAGGAUUUUGGAAUAUUUUGCUAUAACUAGCAUGCA